CGACGCCCGGGUCAGGGCCUGGGCGCGGCUCGGAGCCGGGUCGUCGCUAUAGCAAUCGGGAACCGCUACCUGUCCAUUCCAAGGAUUCGGUCCAGCAGAAGCGUGAGGAGGUGGCGGAGGCCCCGAGGGCUUUGCGUCAUCACUUCUGCGGCCUGCGGGCGAGAAGGUGCGCUUCGGGAGUAGCGCGGGAGGACAGGAGGCGCAGGUUGUGAGGGACGCAGGCCCUGGGGCUUCGGUCUCUGUCCUCCGAGCUCAGAGCCUCCAGGCUUCUUCCCGGCCGCGCGCUCAGCACUCACUGUCUUACGGUCCCGAAGCGCUUUAAGGUGCGCAGUCCGCAGGCCUUGCCUACUGAUCUUCCAGCCACCCCUUGAAGGAAGCAGUUGCAGACGCUGAGCACAGUGCCAAACCUAUAUAGAAACUCAUUUGGGAUAUGGAGGAGAAUAUGCCACCAGUUCUCCAAAGUGGAGGGGUAAGUGGGACUGUUAAUUAUUUCUCAGUUCCCAAGCUUGGGACUAGUGGAGGGGCAGGGUGGGUCCUGGAAGCAGGAUGGUAUGGUUGGUCAAGUAGCUGGGCCCAUUACUGGUUUGGAGAAAAUGGUGGGUCAGUGUCCCCUCUGGGAAAUUGGAGAGUUUUUUGGGAGUAGUUGGGGUUGGGGCAUCCCCCAGGGAGGUGAGUAGCUUACUCACCUUUGGUGUCACAGUCUUGGAAGGAAAUGGCCCCUUCAUGCUUGGUGGUGAGGCCCCCACCACAAGGGAAGCAUAGGGUCCGUCCUGCUUCAGGUUGGUAGGUGCCACGUGGGCAUGGCUGACAGGGCUUGAACCCAUCUACAGAGUGUUGGCCAGGUGGGCACUGACCUGCAAUGAAUCAAGGGCCCAACUCUGAUGGGGAUGGUCCUGAGUCAUCCCCAUGGGGUCACCCGAUCUCAGGGGACAAAGGUAUACAAACAGGAUGUUGACUAAGAGAGUGGCCUGGAGCCUGGGCCUGCCCUUUGGGAAAUCCCAUGCCCAUGGGCAUCCCAGUGCCCACCCUACCCCACUCUGUAUUGUUUGUUCCCCUGGCACCUGCACACGUGGUGACGUUGGUGGCUCCAAGAGGCCCGUGGGCAUCACUCCCAGGGCAAAGGUCGCAGGAGAGCUGCCCUUCUCUCUCCUGGAAGGUGCCCGCUGGGCAUGGCACACACUGCUCCGUCUGGCCGUGGUAAUACGUUCCCUGCGGGCAGCUGACUGAGGGAGAGUCGGCCGCGCUAGCCACCCACCCCCGCAUUUCCCACCACCCAGGCCUGGGACUCCCCUUCCCACUCCCCGCCACAACCCCCGAUUCAGGGAGAAUCUCUGUCAGGGAACAAACACAAUCCUACUUGGGGGGAUAGGAGGGUCAAAACCGUGUGCAGGAGGAUUGCUGGCCCCACCUGGCAUCCUUCUAGAUUUCAGCCUGGAACCAAGGAAGGGAGGACAGCGGGCAGGAGCAUCCUGGCUGCCUCAUAAUUUGAGAAAUGCAUCUGAGGCCACAAAGGGUCCUGCUCUGAGUCAGGCCCAAACUGGGUCUUUCCUACAUCCCUGCUCCCCAGUAAGCUCCCUUACCACACUUGGUCCCAGCACGGUGCUGCCCGGGCCUACAGGACUCCAUCGGCUCUGCUCGCUCCCCGGCUACCAGGCCCGGCUUGUGGGCCAGCUCAUAAUCAAGGCCUGCCAGGCGCAGCAGGAAGCGGUCCUGGUUGAUGGACUUUCUGAGCAUCUUCAGGGAUCCUUUCAGCCGCCGUUCCAUUCGCUGUCGGAGGCAGGGCAGCCCACAGCUGGCUGGUGGUGGAUGGCCGUGUGUAUCAGGGAGGAGAAAGAGUUGCUGUGAGCAGGAGGGCAGGGGAGCAAAGCUGGGAGCUAGGAGGGGCAUGGUAAGAGGGACUAGCUUUUAGGCUUGGCACCAGGCAGGGUCUGCCCCUAGUACAGGCUCCAUCCCUUCCUUUUGCUGCUGAGACCUGUGGUUUCCCCACCUCUGCCCUCCCCUUCCAGUCCUCUUCCCAACAGUGCCCCCAGUCCCACCUGUGGUUUCUUCGGCUCUGACCUCUGCCUCCAGUUCCAGGGUGAGCCUUGUGACCUCUUUGCCUGGAGGGGUCCGGGCCCGUCGGCCCUUGCCCUUCCGAGAGGAGUCACACUUAAGGUGGAUGAAGGUGACCUGGCAUUCAGAGCAGGGGGCACCACCUGGGAGAGAGGGCUUGUCAACCCCAGGGACAUCCCCUGGAAAGUUCUCACUCCCAGCCCAGACAGACCUCCCCAGAUCUCUAACUGUAACUAUCUCUCAAUCCUGUUUUAGUCUAGGGUCCUAAUUAGUUGGUGGAGGGGAAUAUUCUGGGACUUCCUUGGGUGCUAUGCCUACAGCUGCUUUUUCCUCUGCUCUGCCUAGAGUUCAGGGUUCUGGUGGGUUUUUGGAAGCAGAGGAGCUGAGGGGUAAGGAGGAUUUAGUGGCCAGACAGCCAACUGGAAUGGGGUCCCCAGUCCAAACCUGGCCCUGUGAUUCUGCCAGCCUCCUCUGUUUUGCCUUUGUUUCGCAGGUGCAAACGGCAUUUGGCAUCCUUGAUCUUGAAGGAGGCCCGUUGUUUAAUGGACAGCACUGCAGCCUCUAGAGGGAUGGUAGAAACUCAGCACAGUAUGGGAUGCCCAUGGAGGUCGGGGGUGCCGUAGGGGUUGUUGAGAAGCUGGGUAAUAAGCCAGGGGCUUGGCUGGGGGAGUGAGAUUAUGAAAGUCAAGGGGAUCAGAUGUUAGGGCAGAGGGAGUGAGGGAGCAGGGUUGGAGAAUUACAGGGCAAAAAAGAGGAUCCAGGAGAAAGGAAGGCCAGGGGAUUGAUGAAGAACAAAAAUAAGGGAUUAAUGUAAGAGAGUAGGGUGGGAACAGGGCUUCUGGGCUGGUGCUUACCAUGGCAGUGGUUGGAGUUGGUGCUGUUCCCAUUGUGGCCAGCUCGGGCUGGAGCAGCCCUGGGGCUGGGGGUCCCACAGCUCACCGUGAAGCCAUUCUCAGACUCUGAGAAAAGGAGCCUGUCACAGUUCUGACCUGCCUUCCCAACCCCCGCUGGCUGGAGGAAUCCAGGGGGAAUGAAGGAGCUGCCUGAACGGCCAGUCCUUCCUCUUUUCUCCUCCAAAGCUCUCCAGCACCCUCCUCCCAUGUACCUGGCAAAAAUCGGGCCCUGGAGGGACAGGUCAGGGCACAGGUGUCCUUCUUGCCAGACCGGUUGCAGCUGAGCAUGGCUUUCGAGGCCCCAGGACUGCCCUGACACUUCAGUGGCUCUAGGAAGGGGAGAGAGGCCUGAGCAAAUGAAUGCAUUCCUUUCCCUCAGUUGGGUAAUUUGGAGGAAUCAGCUACUUGCAUAACUAUUGUUGUACCCAUGGAGACUGAUGAUGGGAUUGUUUACUACAAAUUUCAUGUCUUUAACUCAAAAUGGCUACAUUCUCCACCCUUUCCACCUCACACCUUUCCCCAAUGUGAUACUCUAUGCUUUCCAGAACCCCAACUGUGCCCACCUGUGCAAUCUUUGCCAUUCCAGUGCAGCCGACCCUGGCCUGCUGGGCAGGUACACUGGUAGCUGCCAGGAGUGUUGAUGCAGCCAAAGCGGCAACCUCCCCGGUUGAUGCUGCAUUCAUCCACAUCUGGGGGAAGGAGUAGGGAGACAGAAAAACAACGAUGGAGUUGGAGGAGGAGCCGGAGAGUAGGCAGUGAGUGAGGGCCUUUGGUUAGAGUUUCAGGUACCCUGCAUUACGCAAGAUGAAUAAGUUCGAGAGAUCUACUGUACAACAGUGUGCCUAUAGGCACAUAAAUACUGUAGUGUACACUUAAAAACUUAAGAGGGUAGAUCUCUUGUUAAAUAUUCUUACAAUUUAAAAAAGUUAAAAAGGCAUUCUAGGCACUGUAAGAUGACUACUGGCCUGAGAAGAGCUCAAACCUCCUCCAAUUAUCUCUGUCCCCAAAGGAAUGAUCGAGAAGGGGCCAAGCCAACAAGCUUUUUAAAGCCUUCCACUCCUCCCAACCAGUGAGACUGUCAUUUGGGAGCUGAGAGUGGGGGUUCAGGGACAGUUAUAGGAAUGGGAGAUAGGAAUUUUGGAGGCAGGAUGCUGUUUCCGCAGUCUCCCAGUUCUUCAAAAGCUGUCUUAAUUCCUCCUAUUUUGUCACAGCGGAUGCAGACAUGGUGCAUGCAUCCAGGGAUUGCCCAUAGCCACAAGCCAACACAAGGACCUGUUCAAUUGGAGGGUGAAGAGGUGAGGGGGCCAGGGUGGCUGGGGGUGCAAGCUUACUAGCUUACCCCCACAGUGGGUGAUACCAUACAACAGGUAGCCACGAUGGCAGAGACACUGGAAGCUUCCUGGUGUGUUGACACAUAUGUGGUCACAGGUUCGAUCAAAGGAACACUCGUCUAUAUCUGGAAGAGCAAAGAUUCAAGCCACUGAAUCUGUCUUGGAGCACUUGACCCUUGCUCAGGUGAAGGACCCAAGUGAGGGGCCUUGGCUUUCCCCCUUGAACUGAAGAGUUCCUAUUCAUGUCCUAGCUCUAGGACCAGUGAUUUAACAAUGCCAUUCCAUCUUCUCUGCCCCCUCUAUUUGAAGUCCUUGGAAUUAGGAACUGCAAGAUCUGGUGCCUUUAGGUCAGGGCCCACCAUGUGUGGUUAGGUACGUCCUACUCUGCCAAGGAUAUGAAUUGGGGUGAAAUCCAUCCCUCAGUCCUUGCCAGGCUGAAUGCUUUGAUAUGGAGCUAGUCCGCUGAGGGGAAAGAGUACCAUUUGCUAAUUUGCAGGAUGACACUGCCUCUAGAGACUCUGUGUGAUAUCUAUUGAGUUUCUAAGACUUUAGCCCUCUGGCCUCCUUGAAGCUCUCCCACAAGAACCUCUCCUAAGGCUUUCACCUUUGGCUGAGUCUGCUCACCCUGGCAGUUCCUCUCAUUGAUGAGAAGCUUAUAGCCUUUCUUGCAACUGCAUUCGAAGCUGCCCACUGUGUUGCGGCAAAUAUGGUCACAGCCCCCGUUGUUUAAGCGGCACUCAUCUAUAUCUGAAGAAGGAGGACAAAACAGGAUAAAAGAUACUAUCAAAGGCUGAGAACAAACAAGGAGAAAGAUCCCUCCCUCACUGACAGAGACAUGCAAAAAUCAAGGAGUCCUGGGCCUGCCUCUUCUUGAUCUCUCUCUGUCUCUUUCUCUUUCUCUUUCCUGUCUCUCUCUCUCUUUCCUGUCUCUGUUUCUUCCCUGUUCAGGGGAUCUGUGGCCAUUAGUAACACCCUCUCUUCUGGGAUUGAGUGUUCUUAUAAGGGGACAAAUUGGAACCAAAACUAGGAACAGGCCCUCAGGGAAUUACCUAGAGGAGGGGCAGGUGGGCAUUUGACCUAACAGGCUAGCCCUUAGUCUCCAGCUGAUGGCCAUUCCCUGAAAGGUUGGUGGGUAAGGGUUAUCUCUUUCCUGUCCCUCAGGACGGGGGGUUGGGGGGGUGCGGGGCAAGGAGAGGUGGAGGGUCUAAAGGGACUCACUGAAAACGGGCAGCCCUUUAGGGAGGAGGAGGAGCUGGGAAAGAGGCCAGGCAGGGAGGACCUCCAGGAGAGCCAGUGAGGCUGGGUAGCUGAUGGGGGAGGGCUGGGGGCCAGGCAAGGGGCUGGACUGGGAGAGAUCUGGAGAGACUCAGGCCUGAGGCAGCUUUCAGCACUAGUAAGGGAAAGGGGGGCUGGUGAAUGGCUUCCUUCCUGAGGUCAAGUUCCCCAAGCUGGUGGCAGACAGGACCCAGGCUACUCACCCCUGGUUGGGGGAAGGGGCAGGGAGGGCAGCCUUUCACUUCACUCUUAGCAUACCUGUCAACAGUUCUUCCCAGCAGGAAACCUCUCAACUCUGGCUGGCUGACCUGCUGCCCUAGCCUCCCCCCUCCUCUCGCAGCUGUUGGGCCAAAAGACACAAAGAACGAGCCCAGUCCUCCUCGUCCCCACUCCUUGUGACCAGGGGAUAUGGACCUAAUGAAUCAUCAUUUUCAGUAUGGCUACCCUGCCUUUUUCCUCCACCCUUUCCCCCCAUUCUCCCUCAGACCUGGCUAAUUAAAAGGAAGGGAAACAGAAUGCAUAAUGUGGGUAACUAUACUGUAAUAACAGUUAACACAAAGUGUUUCCAUUUGCCAAGCACUGUUCUAAGUACUUUUUAUGUAAUCACUCUUUUAAUCACAACACAGUAUGAGGCGAGCACUAUGGAAAACUGAGGCACAGAGACAUUAAGUGACUUGUCCAGGAUCACAGAGCUAGUAGGAGACAGGGCUGGGAUCUGAACCCAGCUUCAGUCCUCCUAACUAGUAUCCUACUCUCCCUUUGACCAGUACAGCCUUUCGAGGGGUAGACAUCAUUUCCCCAGAGCCCACUGGGAAGGUCUGAGGAAUGUGGGGUAAGAAGGUUAUGGAACACACCUGUGACCUCAUGCACACACACAGUCAGGGCUCAAAUAUCCUUCCAGACCCAGGAGCAAAUGUGAAUCGCAUGUCCAUUAACUAAGAGGGUUAGGGACCCAUGGGGGAUAGGAAUGAGAGUAGGGAAACAAGGUGGGGUAGGGGAAGGGGGCACUAAGGAACUGGCUGGACUUCUCUGUCCCUUGAACUGAGAUGAAACAGGCAGAUAGGAGACAACCCUUAGCUAUGUCCUGGGUUCUUCAUAAGAAGGAGGUUGAGGAGGUGUCAUCCCCUAAUAGGCACCCUAUCUCUGGUCCCAACCUCAGCCCCUUACCAAAGGUCACUCUGCUUCUGUCCUCUCAAAGUCCUUACCUUUGCACGUCUUCCUGUCUGGCUGCAGCAUGAAGCCCACAGGGCAGGUGCAGUGGACACCAGUCGCUGCAUCAUGGCACUUACUGUCACAGCCCCCGUUGUUGACAGCACAGGUCUCUGUUUAGGAGGGAAGUGGGGGAUGGUAAUGAGGUUACAAGCCUGGAGGAGUCCCAAACUCUGAGGGUAGUGGAGACCACAGAGGCCCGAGGGAAGGCCUCAGCUGCCUCUCUGUGCUUUAGAAGGAGCAUUAAGCCAAGGGAGGCUCCCAGCCCCUUUCCUCCCAUCACUCCCAACCCCCAUCCCCUCACAAGUACAGCCAAGCAGUCCACUUCCCUGCCCCCUACUUGAUUGAAACAAGGUGGACAGCAGUGAGGCAGGUACAAGCCAGAGCUGUCAGGCAGGAAUGUGCCGAGGGGGUGGAGGAGGUGGGGCGGGGGGCAGUAGGGAGGGAUGGGAGCUAAGUGAGGGUGGUUCUGGCUGCCAGGGAACCAGAAGGGACAGAUAGGAGUUUCUUCCUCUUUCCACUAUGUCUUUGGUGGGUGGGUGGGGAUUGUGGUGGGACAAUCUUAUUGUAAGUGGAUUGGAAAGAAUGAGCCGGGCCAUUCCUAAGGCAACUGAAGGAUACCCAUCAAUUUAUCUUCCCCUUCCCCGCUGCCUAGCUGUCUUAAGAAAGAUCCCACUUCCAGGAUCGACUGACUGCUCAUCCUCAGAGGAGGUAGCACAUACUGGGUUAAUCUACCUUCAACUCCUCCCAAACCCUCCUUUUAGUUCUAGAUGGAGAUAAGCUGGCUGUUUUGUUGUUUUACUCUGCUAAUGGGGAGAUGUUGUAUAGGAGAGGGGAGAAGCAAAAGAAAGAGAAGAAUCCAGAGGAGAAGGAAGGGUGUAAAAAGGUUAGUGAAAGAGUUAGAGAACCUCAGAGCUAGAUAAGACCUAAAUCCUUAUUUUAGCUAAGUCUCUUAUGCUGCUCCCUCUUAACUGGUAAGUUUUCCCUUUCACUAAAAGGUCAGAGUAGGAGGAGUGUCGAUGGGUCACUCUCCCUAUUUUCUGAAUUCACAGCAGGAGAAAAACAGGUUUAAAUGGUAGCUUGGGAAAGUCAGAUGUGUCCAAGGAAAAGCCAUUAGUUCAAACAGUGAAGGCCCCUGAUACAGAGACUGUGGAGGUGGUGCAUACUGUCCUCUUGGGGUGACUAGAAUUCUCCCAUUAGAGAGAAAGAAUCCCAAGACCUCCACUAGGGAAGAUAGAAGAAUGGUUCUCAGAAUCAAGGGAAUUGAAUAAGACCAGUACUGGAUGUACUGUCAUCUUCUUAAGUCUCUGACUCCCCACACUCAGGCCCAACUCUUGUCACCAAUGAGAACAGGAAGGCCAGGGCUCCAAAAGAAGCCUAACUCUAUGGGUCCCUGGCCAUGCCCUGGUCCCUCAAAUGCCCAUGUGUGGAACAGCCCAACCUGGAGUGGGAUAUCGUCUGUGCCAUUUCCACUUUAGUCUCUCCUGAGGCUCUCCAAGACCAUGGGAGGAACCUAGUAGGGAACAUUGAGUUCAGGUUCCAAGGCUAGCCACCCGCUAAAGAGUGCUUUUAGCAUAAGAAGAGGUCCACUAAGCCCAGGAGCAGGGGGAGGGGCACAGAGAUCUUAUGCCAAGGCCAGAUAGCUUCUGAAGGAUGUAGGAUACGGAAUAGCAGAGCUGGCACAAUGUCCAUCCCAGGCUGGACAGAAAGCUGGGCAUAGCCGCCCACCUGUGCAGGACGGCAUUCUUGAGAGCAGGGUGGGGCAGCAGGACCAUAUAGUCUCACCCCUUUGCUCUCUAGGUCACAAUAUUAAAACCACAAGUUACUCUGUGCUUAUGCUGUGCCAGGCACUUGCCAGGUAGAUGCUCUACAUGCACUAUCUCAAGCAUUACAACCCUAAGGAAGGACUGUUAUUUUAUAGAAAAGUAAACUGAGGAUCAGAGAGGAAAGUAGCUUGCCUAAGGUCAUACAGUUAGAAAGUAACAGAGCCAGGAUUCAAACUCAGGUCUGCCUGAACACACAUGCCAUGCUCUUAGCCAUUACGGUAGGAGAGAAUGGUGAGUGAUGCUGGGACUGUGAACUAAUGUGGGUAAGAACCCAAGAAAGAAGCCCCAAGGAGGGGAUGGCAUCUAAUCCUAUCGCACCCCUAUCUCAGGUGGCACAGUGGGCAUGACAGGGAAGAUGAGGCUGGCUGGGUAGAGGGGGGUGGGGAGCAGAUGGCUGGGAGUGGGGUGGGGUGUUAGAAGGUGGGUGUGGGAGGAGACAGCAGAAGAGGAAGGGCAGAAGGAGAGUGACAGGAACAAAGACGAGACCAACAUGAAAGCUCCCGGGCCAGCUCUUAGGGACUCAGGUUUCUUGUCACCCAAUGGGCCCAGUGCCCUGGCUGCCAGGAUAGCCCUGCUGGCAAGUUGGGGCCCAGUCAGGCUGGGCCCAGUGGGCAUGCAGUUAGUGGGAGCCCCAGCGGGUUAGCCCUUCCCCUAGCAAGCCAGUGAGAGCAAGCGGAGAGAGCAGACAUAUUUACCAUUAGAAACGGCUUGAGUGGGGAUGUGCUGCUCUAGCCGCCUUUCCCCUGUUUGACAUUGUAAAAAAGCUGUUUAGGUGCUGGGCAGAAGCCACUGUGGCCCUCUGGCCCCGGACCCCUCCCCACCCUCUCCUCCCCACUGCCAGCCCAAACCAGUAGCCCCAAAUGAUGAGCCCUGGGACCCUUAUGACAGCUUCACUCCUCAUCCUUAUCCUGUCUGGUGGUAUCCCCAAAGAUGCCAAGCUCCCCGCAAGUGACUGAAAAACUGAAACAGUCUCAGAAAGGGCAACCAACCAUGUGCCCAGUACCACAGAGCAUGCUCAAGCCUAAGCUGGGAUGCACCCUCAAGUCUUACUAACCACAAAAUCCCAAAUCCCAAAGGGUGCCGCCCUUUCUGCUAAACUAUACUGCCUUCUCAGUCUUCCCACCGAAUCUGAAUGUCCUGACGGCCCCAGGCAAUGAUGUUUCCUCUUACCAGGGAUGGCCAGAAAAAUUAGAUAUAUGGCAAGGUAAAAUAAGUUCUAUUGGAGAAGAGGAAGAGGAACUAGGAAAGAAUAUAGCUGUAAACCCCAGAAUAGCCUCAUUUGGUCUUUUCUGCCUCAUUUGGCCUUUUCUGCCUCAUUUGGCCACAGCCCAGUGGUGGAACAGGUCUUGAGUUAGAGAAGAGCCCAAGCUCAGUAAGGGUGUUUUCAGAAGCAACCAUGUCUGGAACUUUGAACAGAAAUAAAUCAGAGAGGGAUCAGACCUUCACAUCCCUGGCCCCUGACUCAUGCAUCUUUUCUUUGGGCACUGCAAACAAUUUCUUUUGAGAGACUGGGGAUGUGUGAAUGUGUCCAGGAGGUGGUGAGAGCUUUGAAAAGCAAAAUAAUUAGACCUAUGAGUAAAAAAUGAAAGGAGCUGAAACACACCAGCCCAAAGAAGGCAAUGAGAAGAGCCUAAAAAUGUUCUGGGGUCUUUGAAGAGUUAAUUCAGAGGGAAACGUGGCAGGGGAGAUUUUAAUUAUAUAGGGACUUUAGAAAUGGAUGUGCCAGUCUCUGGAGCAAGUGCCUGAGGGAGCCCUGUAAGAGCAUCAUCUGCUCUCCAGUUCCUAUUCCUGCAGUGAAAGGGACAGGUCCCUGGAAAGUCUAGUUCCUCAGUUAAUGUCAUGUCUCUGAUAUACAUAACUUCAUACACAGUGACUGGAUUCACACACCCCCAUCCUCAGCAUGCCACAGCCCACCAGAUGGACAGUCAUUCAUAAACACCUAUGCCCACACAGCAAGCUCAUGCCCUGCCUGGCUAAAGACACAGCCUCUCUCUCAGCCAAACCUCUUCCUUUCAUUUCCCCCUUCUCCAAGGGGAAACCUUGUUCCAUCAUCCUUCUCAGCACUAAAGACCUAAAGGCUAAAGGAAUUAGGAAUUAACUUUAAGGAAUUAAACUCAUCUAGGGUACCUGAAAAUAUGUGAGAUAAGGCCUAAGAAUUCAGGAAGAGGGAUCCAGGUAUUAAGAGGACCUCAAAUCAAGGUAAGAGAUGGAAGGCUGGAGUUGGUGAGGAAGAAACAGGGUUGCUGGUGGAGCUGAGAGGGAGUACCACUGGCAUCUGGAGGAGAGAGAAGGAAAUGGGGGGUAAGGUGAGGUGAGUAGAAAGGGGAGUUGCAGGAGGAGAGUGAGGAGAGAAGGAAUAAAGAGGAAAAAGAUACCUGGAGCCAGGAAACCCCAUCUGUCAGUCAGUUCAGGGAUGGUUGUUCCAGGAAGGAGCACUCUGUCCCACCCUCAGUUGCAGAGUGGGGACACUGGGCUUUGAUAAUUCCUCUGUUAUCACACUAGUCAACCAAGGGCCUCUGGUCAGGCCUAAGCAGAUGCAUUUCCCCAGAUCUCUUCCCACUUCUCAACUACAGCCUUGGUCAAUAAGCAACUCUGCUAAUUAUUCCCAGUUUGGCAACACUUUGUCCUGGGAUGAAGAGGGUGGUGAGGCUCCUGGAACAGGGUGGUAAAACCACUGGGAUGGGGAGGGGAAGAGGGCUGGGGAGCCCUUCAGUCUCUCUUUGAGUUGUCCCUUACUAGACCUGGCAUUUUCUGGGUCUUAACUCCCUCACCAGUCCCUCUGUGCCCAGCACCUGGGCCCCAUGCACUCCUCCACUUCCCUGGUUCCCAAAGGGUCCCACCCCCACCCCAUCUCAGGUGGACUGAGUUCUCCCCUGGCCUCACCCACCGAUGCAUGUCUUCCCGUCGGUAUGGAGCACAAACUUGAUAUGGCAGCCGCACCGGGGACCCUGCUCUGUGUCAUCACACGUGUGCUGGCAGCCGCCGUUACCAUAGUUGCAUGUCACUGUGCACAGAGAGGACAGGGCCCUGUCAGCUUGCUCCUCCCUGCAUCCACAGUUUUCCACAAUGUGGGUACUGGCCCCCUUGCCUAGUUGCCUCCCCCAUACUCCCUUUUCCUCCCAGCCCUGUCCUCUUGCUCCUGAAGCCCUAUACCCUUCCUCUAUGUUUUCACCCCCGACCCCACUGCCCCACCUGCCAUCCCAAUUAUCUCACAUUUACAGUCCCGUUGGUUCUUGGUAAGCUCAAAGCCAGGACGGCAUUCACAGGCAAUACCCCCCUUGGGUGUCUCCCGGCAAAUGUGGGCACAGCCGUGGUUCUUGUUCAUGCAAUUCAUUCCUUCUAAAAGAGAAGAAAGGGGUGUGAAUGCUCUGUACCCCUGGAUGUCUAGAAAAGAAAAACUACAGGGGGCAACUGGGGACCUAGGGAACUGGGAGAAUUCUACUGAGGUUGAAUUCAACACGAGGGGACUGACUCUCCUUGUCCCAGGCCUCCUGUCUUCCCCACAGACCUGGGUGCUCAUGAGCAGAGCACAGAGCUGUUCUGAAUGAUGUAUAACUAGCUAGCUAUUGAUACUCAUCCCAACGAAUGAUCACCCUUUCCUUUAAACAACCAAAACAUUGUGUAUAAUAGGUGUCCAGCACUGUGCUGGAGAUGGGGUGGAUUUAGGAAGGUCCUAGAAAAAUACAAGGUGUGAUCACUCCCCUCAAAGAGCUUACAGUCAAACUGGGAAGAAGAUCAGUAGCAAUCAGAUCUACAAUGAGAGUGGAGGGUAAUUGGUAUAGAUAUUUACUAUGCAAUUUUAUUCAACAAACAUUUAUUAAACUCUCACUACACGCAGGGCAGUAUGUUAGGUGCUGGGGAUACAACAAUGAGUUAGACAUAGUCCCUGCCCUCAGGGAUGUCACAGUCUAGUGGGAGUGGGGGGCAUGAGUCAUAGAAACAGCCAAUAUAAACCCAUUAUUCCUGCCUGACCCUCCCAUGCCAAUCCAAGGAAAAAGAUAUGGUGAGGCCCUCUCAGAUAGGCAGCAGCUUAGAGAAGCUCAGCCAUCUACAAUUAGGGACAACAUCCACCUCAGGUCUGGACACAGAGGAUACUCCAUAGUAGCCUUAAUCCCAUAUUGAUCCCAACCUCAAAGUAAUUUCCCCAGAUUUUGCCCUAACAGGGUGUCUGUUCCUAGAUCCUUUAGGGUGUGAUUGAGUUGAAGGACAAGAGAAGAAGGAGCUAGCUGAGUUGAGAAUGGAGGGUGAGACUUAGGGGCUGCUGAGGGACAGCUGGGAAGAGAAGCCUGGGGAGGGCAGGGAUGGGGCCAUCCCAGGUCAUGGGCUGACCUUCUGGCCGCUGGAUACAGGUAUGCUGGUUGUCGCUGAGGAAGAAGCCUUCCCGGCAGUGGCACUCAUAGCUGCCCAUCAUGUUGACACAGCUCUGCUGACAGCCGCCGUUGCCCUCGGCACACUCGUCCACAUCUGUGCAGGAUAGGUAGUCAGUGGGGUCAUGGGGUACAGGCAGGGUCCAGGGUAUAUCCCAAGACUUCAGCACCAAAGGCAGUCUUAAGAACUACUACCCCCUAAGCCCAGCCUUAAGCCAGGAAGUCCUCACACCCUUGUCAGCUAAUAUUUCACUAAGUGUAAAAAGGCUGCCCUGAGGGCAGAGCUGGGAAGCUAAGCAAGUGGGGGAAAAGGGGACCUUUGAACCUCAAAUGUCACCUAGGUGAAGCCAUGCCUCCCUUUCCCUCACCUGUGUAAACUGGGUAUGAAGACAGAGGACACCAGGAAAGAAGCCAGAGAAAGAGGAACAGUGAUGAAGAACGUAAGCUCCAUCAGAGCAGGGACCAUGUCUGGCUUGUUCACUAUCGUGUCCUCAUCAUCUCCUGUACUGCCUGCCACAUGAACCAGCUCUGUGAUCCUAAGUGAAGUCAAGGGACUGACCGGACACAUGAACCUAGAUCUCUGCAAAGAGCCCUGGGACCCAAAUGGGAGAGGUCCAGGGCCUGGUUCCAUCAUCCCUCCCUCUCUUGAUGUGUGGCCUUGCUCAAGGCGUUGGACUGCAGUGGACCUCCAUGUCCUUCUUUUGGAAAACAGAGUUAACAAUACCUGCCCCAUUCAGAGGAGAAAUGAGGUCAUGUUUGUGCAGCACAGUGAGCUCACUGGAGACAAUGAGUGUAUUCUUCUUAACAGUAACAAUAAUAAUCAUUACUGAAAAUCUAACCAGUAAAUAUAUCUCCUCAAAGCUGGAGUUGGCCCCUCAGUAGGAUAGCAAUUAAAGUUUUUUUAAAAAUCUCUAGAUGGGGAAAUUUUCUGGCUGCAUUUUGAUCUCUGGGGUUUGCAGAGUUGAUAUCAUUGUGGGAGGGAGAGAGGCCUGCAGCAAUCAUUCAUCUCAAUUCCAUUCAAUUGUACUUUUUGUAUCUCCCUUGUCCUUGAGUUCUAUCCACUGGGCUUUGCAAUUUCUCAUCCUCUAUUAGUCCUGAGGGAAAGAAGUCCCUAAAUUCCGCAUCUCCACACUCACCCGCUGUCCCAUUCACUGACAUAAACAGUGACCUGGCUACUGGAGAUCCUGGGCAUUCGAGCAUUGGCCACAAACUAUCCUGCAAAGAAAGUGGUCUGUCUUGGGUACAUGAUUCUCUUUCCUGCUCAUCCCACUUAGUGGGCCAGUGAUUCCCAAGCCGAGCUGUGCAUUCAAAGCCCCCAGGAGUGGGUCCAUGGAUU
rnacentral:lncRNA from 1 species